rnacentral:lncRNA from 1 species
CCAAUAGACUUUUUUUUGCUUUGAUUCAGACCAGCAGGAGCUCUUCCCUUCUCCAGAUCCAUGAACGGCUAUGACCGGGAGCCAACGCUCGAGCCCCACAAGCUGGACGAGCUCGACAGCGAGGUCAUCUGCCCCGUCCACCAUGAUUCCCCAUAGAACAAGAAGGUCGACCCUCUUGCUCUAGUUUCUUUUCUUUCCAAAUGCUUGUUGCUCUGCUCUAGGAUAGUUCUCCAGGGCUCUCAAAUUUUCUUUGUCUGAACCUGAUGCAGAAAACGUGGUCACUUUGUUUCCUGAUACUCACAAGUUAUAGCCAUCGAUAGGCUAGCAUCGCUGGAUAUUUUGUUUUUCUUCUCUCACCGUGUGAGCACUAGUAGUGUAAAAUUUGUGAGAUCUUCCACUUAGUUAAGAAACUACUAGUUUAAUAAGUAAUUCCCAAUGAGAUGCCCCUGUUGGUUCCUUCGAUUUUCUUGUUUAUGGAGGGAAAGUAAUUCAUUCAUCUCACUGAAGAUUGACCAAGAGUAGAUUGUUUGUUAACUAGGCCUGCUAUUACACUGCUUCUCUGUUAUAUAAUAUGUGCAAACUUUCUAUUUGUUAUGUGGUGAAAAUAGCCAUCAUAUUGAUUUCCACACAAUUAAGUUGAUGAAAUUUAUGACACAUGAUGGUGGUGCUUGUUGCCAUGGAAUGCUUGGUUUGAUCCCAUUUGUUGUCAGCAAAUAUACGUGUUGUAUUUUUGUAAGUUUUGUUAUGAAAGACAAGUCCCUUUGGAAGAAAAACACUACUUGAAGGAAAAGGGGAAGCCAAAAUAGCUGAUGACUAUGUAUUCUCAGUUAUUGGAAACAUCAAAAUCUGGUAGAACUCACACUUGAUUGUUACUGGGUUAAUGCCAAGCUGCUUAUAAAAUUGAUGAUGCUAUUUUUUAUAUGCGUACCUAGAAGUAGCUGACAUCCUUGUACUUCAUCGGCUAAUAUAAUUGAUGCAUACAAGUAGGCUCCUGAUCUUUGCUCAAUUUAAUAUAUAUCACAAUUUGAUGAAUUCCUUGUUUCCAGUACAUGUCACCAAUUUCAGGAUAUUACGUAGUAAGUGCCUCCGUCUAAAAAGAUGUAAAAAUAAACCUUUUCCUGUCCUUUACUAUUUUUCAUUUGUUUAUAAUGGAAACUAGUGCAGAGUUAGAUACAUAUAUUGCUUGAAGAUUUGCCCUCUUAAGACCUCUUAAAAUAGUUCAACCAUAGUUUGUAUCUACACGUGCCUUGAGCAUCCAUAUUUUACCCAGCUGAUAUAUCUUUGUUAUUAUCUAGAUUUGUUCUCAUGGUGGUUAACUUGGUUUUUUAAAGCCAUUGUUUAGUGGAGGUCAUUGGUAUAUAUUGUUUUUGCAAGUGUAUACACAGAAAAAGGAGGCUCCUUUUUCAGAAUGGUUCCAAGAAAAUUCUAAGUGAUGUAAUAUUGAUGUUUGUAAAUCACAACGUCCACCACUGAAUGUCUCUGCACAUUUGUAGGCCUUGAUUUGAUAUAAAAACAAUCCAAUUUAUCUUCUUGCUUAUGUCCUGGAUUUCAAUAUGACUCUCUUUCUGUGAUUUCUUGUUACACGGCAUGCUGCCCCAUAGGUGUAGAUGAUGAAACAUUCCUACUGUAGGUGUUCCUUUCACAUGUUUGCUGAGAUGUUUGAUAAAAAAUAUGGCCUUAUGCAAUUCCGUCAAAAUAGCUUAGUGAUUGCUGCUCCAUGGCGUACAUGUAGGUCCCCUGAGAUCCCAUGUCAUACUUAAUUAACAGAGUGCAUGAACUAUUAUAGCUUGCAUAAACUAAGGUGACUUUUUACUAUUGUGUAUAUGCGCGUUCAAGCUGGCAUACACUAAUUAAGAUCACAAGAAACAUAGUCAUGAUUCUGAUUUGUAAUGAAGAUAUUAAAUAUGAAAUUGUUGGAGGGUAUGUUCUAGUAUUUAUAUUUAAGUAGUGCCUUCUGUUUCAUGGUGAUACAUUUUUGGUUCUCCUAGUCUGAACAUAUCUAAAAUGCAAUCUGUACACGAUGAACCAAUGAAGAAAGAAACUUCAGAGUUCAGCUUGUACCUUAAUAACCUUGCAUUGCAUCGACACACUACUAGAGUGGUCAUCACCCUUUUGUUCCUGUGUUCUGAUUUGGCUUGUACCUUGAUAACUGUGAACUAAUUUUAAGCCAUGUGUAUAGACUAAAUUUGUAGUUCUCAUGCAAGCUGUCAUCUUGUUCUCAUAUAUACUGCUUCAUUUCAUUAUUGUUUCCUGUUAUAAAUAAUAGUACUAUGAUGGUCAAGUCAGCAGCAAGUAUUGUUACUAUAAAGAUUUAAGAAUUUUGGACAUGUAAUUCUUUUUUAUCUUUGUUGUAAUUCUCUUUUUUGUACUAUCUAUUCAUAUCUGUAAGUAUCUAAUAUUCUUGUAAAUAUGCUAGGUAGCGAGCUACUUGGUGUUGCCUAUCACAAUCAACCAUGACAUCAUAGUUGCCGCAGAGGACAAGAACAUGAAUAAGUCUCAAUAGUUUAUAUGUGUUGAUGUAAAAUGGAUUGUACUGGUUCCUAACCUUGAUGUGUGAUAUAUUUUGUUAAUGUAUGUUGUAAGUUACCAUUUCAUAGAGGAUCUUGGAGGAUUUUAUAAACUGCGAUGUUGAUGCAUACAAAUAGCUUUUUACUGGAUGAAUUUUUUGACACAUUGCAAAUACUUCCUCUUGGGUCAAAACUGGAAUUGGGAUUUGUG